ACCCGAAACCCGGUGAUCUAGCCAUGGCCAGGUUGAAGGUUGAGUAACAUCAACUGGAGGCGCGAACCCACCUAUGUUGAAAAAUGGGGGGAUGAGCUGUGGAUCGGAGUGAAAGGCUAAUCAAGCCCGGAGAUAGCUGGUUCUCCUCGAAAGCUAUUUAGGUAGCGCCUCAUGUAUCACUGCAGGGGGUAGAGCACUGUUUCGGCUAGGGGGUCAUCCCGACUUACCAAACCGAUGCAAACUCCGAAUACCUACAAGUGCCGAGCAUGGGAGACACACGGCGGGUGCUAACGUCCGUCGUGAAAAGGGAAACAACCCAGACCGUCAGCUAAGGUCCCAAAGUUAUGGUUAAG
rnacentral:rRNA from 1 species